rnacentral:tRNA from 2 species
GGGUCUGUAGCUCAGGUGGUUAGAGCGCACCCCUGAUAAGGGUGAGGUCAGUGGUUCAACUCUUCCCAGACCCACCA